rnacentral:rRNA from 1 species
UACGUAGGGUGCAAGCGUUAAUCGGAAUUACUGGGCGUAAGGCGUGCGCAGGCGGUUUUGUAAGUCUGUCGUGAAAUCCCCGGGCUUAACCUGGGAAUUGCGAUGGAGACUGCAAGGCUGGAGUCUGGCAGAGGGGGGUAGAAUUCCACGUGUAGCAGUGAAAUGCGUAGAGAUGUGGAGGAACACCGAUGGCGAAGGCAGCCCCCUGGGUCAAGACUGACGCUCAUGCACGAAAGCGUGGGGAUCAAACAGG